CUGUUCUUCUCCUGUAUUCCCAGACUAGCCUGUGGCCAUUUGUCCAUGCCACACUUUUCCGCUCAGGUCAGAGCUGAUGAAACGUGCGUGUUUUAGGAGAGGACCUUGUCAGGCCAAAUGGGUUUUGAGUUGGUGACAAUUUUCAGGAUAUGAGAAGCUCAUGAAGGGGUGAGGAGUGGCAAGAGAAUUGGGACAAGAGGGGGAUGUGGCGACAAGGCAGGCUUGGCCAGGAGUCAGUCCCAGUAUCUUUGUACAGUGGCACUGGGGAGAGUGUGUGUGUGUGUGUGUGUGGACGGGGGAGGCACAGAAUUAUGGUUUCUAAGUGUGGAAUAUCCUGUAUGUAAAUCAACUCCACGUUCAAUUGCAAUUCAGUAGGGUAGCAGCUACCUGACCAAGGGACUCACCAAGUUCCAGGCUGGUCCUCAGCCUGGCGGCUCAGGGCCUUGAUGUGAUCAGUCCUCUCAAACUCAUAUUGACCUAACUUAUAAGAGACUGAGAGGGGCCAGCCCCGUGGCCGAGUGGUUAAGUUCACGCGCUCCGCUACAGCAGCCCAGGGUUUCUCUGGUUCGGAUGUGGAUAGGGUUUCUCUGGGUGUGGACAUGGCACCACUCAUCAGGCCACGUUGAGGCGGUAUCCGACGUACUACAACUAGAAGGACCCACAACUAAAAUAUACAACUAUAUACUGGGGGGAUUUGGGGAGAAAAAGCAGAAAGAAAAAAAAAAAGAAGAUUGACAGAGUUGUUAGCUCAGGUGCCAAUCUUUAAAAAAAAAAAGAGAGACUGAGAGACAAGCCAGGCCCCAGAUAAGUCAUUUUACACAGGGAGAGUUAUGUGGUAGGAUAACUGACCUUAGACAUUUGCAAUAUUUUGACUAGUGGCUUUUUUUUUCAUGAGUGAGUGUCUCUUGGAAGUGCGGGCCUGGUGGGGGUCCCAGGAAGCCUGACGAAGGGACACUAGGGGAAGGUGGUAGUAGCCGCCCUCUAGGGAGGAUGUGGCCCAGAGCAGCCCGUGCCGCAUAAUGGCAGGGACAGGCGCGGCCACGUCGCUCCGCCACUCCGCAGAGCAGCUGCGCUUUCUCUUUGUCCUCGAAAGCUGGCUGCAGCUGGAGCCCUUCUUGAGCCGUUCAUGUCAAAGGCUGUAGCCGGCAUUUUGCUGUUCAGGGCAGCGUCGGAAUCAGAUUUGCCGGGUCCGGGCGCGGGACUCCGUUUGCCGGGGUUCAUGGGAAAGGACUGCAGCGCGUUUGCCAAUCACUGAGCACGUUUACAGAUGGACCCUGCAGAAGUGAACUCGCGCUUUCAGCGCAUUCAGCAAAGCCUCAGGAGAG
rnacentral:lncRNA from 1 species